UGUGCUCUUCAGAUAUGCGAAGUAUUGACAAUAUAAAUGUUAAUCUUGGCGAGGUAGUCGUACACUGCACUAUAUGCAAUGAUACUAGCCAGGACACCGACAUUGUAGAAACCCAUUGCAAACACAAAUACCACAGGUCGUGUUUAUCGGAUUGGUUGACAUCCAAUGAGACAUGCCCGAUUUGUAGGCAGCUGUGUUCGUUACCGUUGCGUUCACAAUCUCAAUCGAAUUUACAGAGUGGGGAA